rnacentral:rRNA from 1 species
GGUUAAGCGACUAAGCGUACACGGUGGAUGCCCUGGCAGUCAGAGGCGAUGAAGGACGUGCUAAUCUGCGAUAAGCGUCGGUAAGGUGAUAUGAACCGUUAUAACCGGCGAUUUCCGAAUGGGGAAACCCAGUGUGUUUCGACACACUAUCAUUAACUGAAUCCAUAGGUUAAUGAGGCGAACCGGGGGAACUGAAACAUCUAAGUACCCCGAGGAAAAGAAAUCAACCGAGAUUCCCCCAGUAGCGGCGAGCGAACGGGGAGCAGCCCAGAGCCUGAAUCAGUGUGUGUGUUAGUGGAAGCGUCUGGAAAGGCGCGCGAUACAGGGUGACAGCCCCGUACACAAAAAUGCACAUGCUGUGAGCUCGAUGAGUAGGGCGGGACACGUGGUAUCCUGUCUGAAUAUGGGGGGACCAUCCUCCAAGGCUAAAUACUCCUGACUGACCGAUAGUGAACCAGUACCGUGAGGGAAAGGCGAAAAGAACCCCGGCGAGGGGAGUGAAAAAGAACCUGAAACCGUGUACGUACAAGCAGUGGGAGCACGCUUAGGCGUGUGACUGCGUACCUUUUGUAUAAUGGGUCAGCGACUUAUAUUCUGUAGCAAGGUUAACCGAAUAGGGGAGCCGAAGGGAAACCGAGUCUUAACUGGGCGUUAAGUUGCAGGGUAUAGACCCGAAACCCGGUGAUCUAGCCAUGGGCAGGUUGAAGGUUGGGUAACACUAACUGGAGGACCGAACCGACUAAUGUUGAAAAAUUAGCGGAUGACUUGUGGCUGGGGGUGAAAGGCCAAUCAAACCGGGAGAUAGCUGGUUCUCCCCGAAAGCUAUUUAGGUAGCGCCUCGUGAAUUCAUCUCCGGGGGUAGAGCACUGUUUCGGCAAGGGGGUCAUCCCGACUUACCAACCCGAUGCAAACUGCGAAUACCGGAGAAUGUUAUCACGGGAGACACACGGCGGGUGCUAACGUCCGUCGUGAAGAGGGAAACAACCCAGACCGCCAGCUAAGGUCCCAAAGUCAUGGUUAAGUGGGAAACGAUGUGGGAAGGCCCAGACAGCCAGGAUGUUGGCUUAGAAGCAGCCAUCAUUUAAAGAAAGCGUAAUAGCUCACUGGUCGAGUCGGCCUGCGCGGAAGAUGUAACGGGGCUAAACCAUGCACCGAAGCUGCGGCAGCGACGCUUAUGCGUUGUUGGGUAGGGGAGCGUUCUGUAAGCCUGCGAAGGUGUGCUGUGAGGCAUGCUGGAGGUAUCAGAAGUGCGAAUGCUGACAUAAGUAACGAUAAAGCGGGUGAAAAGCCCGCUCGCCGGAAGACCAAGGGUUCCUGUCCAACGUUAAUCGGGGCAGGGUGAGUCGACCCCUAAGGCGAGGCCGAAAGGCGUAGUCGAUGGGAAACAGGUUAAUAUUCCUGUACUUGGUGUUACUGCGAAGGGGGGACGGAGAAGGCUAUGUUGGCCGGGCGACGGUUGUCCCGGUUUAAGCGUGUAGGCUGGUUUUCCAGGCAAAUCCGGAAAAUCAAGGCUGAGGCGUGAUGACGAGGCACUACGGUGCUGAAGCAACAAAUGCCCUGCUUCCAGGAAAAGCCUCUAAGCAUCAGGUAACAUCAAAUCGUACCCCAAACCGACACAGGUGGUCAGGUAGAGAAUACCAAGGCGCUUGAGAGAACUCGGGUGAAGGAACUAGGCAAAAUGGUGCCGUAACUUCGGGAGAAGGCACGCUGAUAUGUAGGUGAGGUCCCUCGCGGAUGGAGCUGAAAUCAGUCGAAGAUACCAGCUGGCUGCAACUGUUUAUUAAAAACACAGCACUGUGCAAACACGAAAGUGGACGUAUACGGUGUGACGCCUGCCCGGUGCCGGAAGGUUAAUUGAUGGGGUCAGCGCAAGCGAAGCUCUUGAUCGAAGCCCCGGUAAACGGCGGCCGUAACUAUAACGGUCCUAAGGUAGCGAAAUUCCUUGUCGGGUAAGUUCCGACCUGCACGAAUGGCGUAAUGAUGGCCAGGCUGUCUCCACCCGAGACUCAGUGAAAUUGAACUCGCUGUGAAGAUGCAGUGUACCCGCGGCAAGACGGAAAGACCCCGUGAACCUUUACUAUAGCUUGACACUGAACAUUGAGCCUUGAUGUGUAGGAUAGGUGGGAGGCUUUGAAGUGUGGACGCCAGUCUGCAUGGAGCCGACCUUGAAAUACCACCCUUUAAUGUUUGAUGUUCUAACGUUGACCCGUGAUCCGGGUUGCGGACAGUGUCUGGUGGGUAGUUUGACUGGGGCGGUCUCCUCCUAAAGAGUAACGGAGGAGCACGAAGGUUGGCUAAUCCUGGUCGGACAUCAGGAGGUUAGUGCAAUGGCAUAAGCCAGCUUGACUGCGAGCGUGACGGCGCGAGCAGGUGCGAAAGCAGGUCAUAGUGAUCCGGUGGUUCUGAAUGGAAGGGCCAUCGCUCAACGGAUAAAAGGUACUCCGGGGAUAACAGGCUGAUACCGCCCAAGAGUUCAUAUCGACGGCGGUGUUUGGCACCUCGAUGUCGGCUCAUCACAUCCUGGGGCUGAAGUAGGUCCCAAGGGUAUGGCUGUUCGCCAUUUAAAGUGGUACGCGAGCUGGGUUUAGAACGUCGUGAGACAGUUCGGUCCCUAUCUGCCGUGGGCGCUGGAGAACUGAGGGGGGCUGCUCCUAGUACGAGAGGACCGGAGUGGACGCAUCACUGGUGUUCGGGUUGUCAUGCCAAUGGCACUGCCCGGUAGCUAAAUGCGGAAGAGAUAAGUGCUGAAAGCAUCUAAGCACGAAACUUGCCCCGAGAUGAGUUCUCCCUGACCCUUUAAGGGUCCUGAAGGAACGUUGAAGACGACGACGUUGAUAGGCCGGGUGUGUAAGCGCAGCGAUGCGUUGAGCUAACCGGUACUAAUGAACCGUGAGGCUUAACCUU